AUCUCGGCCUCCCAGUGCUGGAUUACAGGCAUGACUAAGUCUCUGUUUCUUUAACUUCAAAAGGAAGUUAGCGUUUUCCUUGCAGAGGUGCUGAGGAUUAAAUGAGAUAAUACGUGGAAACAUUAGGCAUGUAGUACACUUAGCAGAUGCUGGUUGGCUCCCCCUGUUUUCCACUAGUCUGUGGUCUACAGUUUAAAUGAUAGGGAAAAGCAUGUGAGAUUUGAGGCUGGGGAAGGAUGCAUUGGGUUCCAGGCAAGGGAGGCAGGCUCUGAGGCCUGGAGCAAGGGACCAGGGGCCUGGGCAGGCCACAGAGCACCACAGUGCCCUUGCUACCCUAUUAAUGGGCCAGGAAUCUGGAAGCCAGCUAGUAAACGCCCUCAUGCCCAGGAUCUUCCUGCAGGUGGAGCUGAAGAGCCAAGAGGCUCAGAGUCUGCAGCAGCAGGGAGACCAGUACCUGUGUCAGCUGCAGCAGUAUGUGGUCGCUUAGCAGCAGCUGACCUCUGAGGAGGAGGUGCUGCACAGGCAGUUACUGCUGCAGACCCAGCUCCUGGACCAGCUGCAGCAGCAGGAGCUCAAGGCAAAGUGGUAGCUAAGAUGGCCAGCCAAAGUUGCAGGAGACCCUGGGGAGGGCUGCUGAGAACAGGGCCACGAGAGGGACAACCUGGCAACCUCCGUGCCUUCUCACCCUCUUUCCUGGCCUCUUAGGAGCACCUGGAAGCUACCAGCCAGCAGAAACAGCAGCUAAAGCCAGGUUGAGCCUCAUGGCUCUCCCUGGGGAAGAAGAGACGGAGGAGGACAUCUGGACAGUGAGGAGGAGGAGGCACCUCGGCCCAUGCAGGACAUCCCAGAGGACCGGGAGAGCCUGGAGGUCAGGUGAGCCUGACUUUCCCUGCCCCUACUUUGUCACCUUCCUCGCUGGUCCCUCCCAGAUCCCCUUAUGUUCUUGGUUUCCCUGCCUUCUGAUUUCUGUGGACUUUCACUCCUUCCGGGAGCCAGUGGUCAAACACCAUUUCACUGUGACCAACAGGUGCACACUCUGAGCCCCAAGGGAAGGCUCCUCCUCCCCUGCCCAGUUGUUCUGUGUAUGUCCCUACAAGAAUA
rnacentral:lncRNA from 1 species